UACGUAGGGUGCGAGCGUUAAUCGGAAUUACUGGGCGUAAAGCGUGCGCAGGCGGUUGUGCAAGACAGGUGUGAAAUCCCCGGGCUUAACCUGGGAACUGCGCUUGUGACUGCACGACUAGAGUACGGUAGAGGGGGGUGGAAUUCCUGGUGUAGCAGUGAAAUGCGUAGAUAUCAGGAGGAACAUCGAUGGCGAAGGCAGCCCCCUGGACCUGUACUGACGCUCAUGACACGAAAGCGUGGGGAGCAAACAGG
rnacentral:rRNA from 1 species